rnacentral:miRNA from 1 species
GGAAGUUAAGUUGUCUACCUCUGAA